UCCGGGCCAGACGGUGUAAGGGCAAAGGUUCUCCAAAGUGAAGACGGUGGCUGAAACAGCAAUGCCGCCUGCAAUUUCAAUUCACAAAACCGAAAGGAAUAAAAAGGCGAAACAAAACAGAGGAGAAACAGAGGAGGUGAUGUAAAAAAAUGUGAUAGCGAAGCGAAAAAGAUGAGACAUAAGUGAAACAGAGAAGAAAUUAAAACAGAGUGUGUCUGUUGUUACUUGUGAUAAACACGAAGAAGAGAAUAUGAAUACUGGAGAAAUUCGUCAUUUUUUACUGGAUCGGAGACCUAGAACGUAAAAAGGUUUCUUUUUUAUCGAUCUCAAUGACUUUAAAGAUACACCUUUUAUAAUAACCUAAUUGCCUAAUCUCUCAUAUAUACGAUAUACGGUAUCUUAGCAUAUCGUAACAGUUUAGUGUUGCCGAUCCUCUAUUUGCAAGUCCUGGUCCGAGGUAGCGUUAUCAUUCUUAAUCAAUCAUAAUUUUUUUCUCAGUUAAUUUGUAGUUUACAACGAAAAAUAUAAUGUUCAAUGGGAAUAAAAUCUUUGUUAGUCCAUCUUCUUUCGCUCUGUGAAUUUACUAUAAGUGGUUUUUCAAAAAUUGCUAUAAAUUUGAGGAAAACCUAAGGCUCAUAGCUGUGAACAAGCAAAAGGCAUGAGAAGAAAACAGAGAUGCUAAGCUUUUGCUGAAAAUAUGAUCUAACGGAGCAGCUGAAUAGCCCAAGUUAAAGAGUCUUCUUAAAAAAACAGAAAAACAAAACAUUUCUGAGAUUUUGAGCUAAGGGAGCUAAGGAAACAGUAUUGGAAUUAUUAUCCCUUAAAAUUAGAAGACACAGAGGAGAUAAUGUAAAAUAAGAUAGCGGAACGAGAAAGAUGAGACAUAAGUGAAAAAAAAAAAAACAAAAAAACAAAAAAACAAAAACAGAGUGUGGUUGUUGUUACUUGUGAUGAACACGAAGAAGAGAAUCUGAACACUGGAGAAAUUCGCCAUUUUUUGGAUUGGGUUUUUGUGGUUGUGUGAUGUGAAUGAUAAUGUUUGUGAAUUUGUGAUGAUGAAUGUUAGUGUUAUCGAUCCUCUAUUUAUAAGUGCUGCUUCACUGGUCAGAGGUAGUGUUAUCAAUUUAAUAAGUCAUAAUUUUUCUGUUUUCUUGAUAAAUAUUUGUAGUUUACGAAAAAAGAAAAAUGUUAAAUGGGAUUGAAACCUUUGUGCGGACAGUUAGCCCAGCUUCUUUAGCUCUGGAAUUUUCUUGUGGUUUUUAAAAAAAGUUUACUAGUAAAUUAAUUUGAGGAAACCGUGAGAGAUGAAGACAUCGAACCGGAUCAAGGACAAGGUGAUUUACCGGAUAUAAAAGAGACUUGGAUGACCUGUUCAAAGACCAUUGACAUAGGUGAGGAGUUUAACCUAGCAGUGAAAAUUAACUCGACAGAGCCAAAAAAGAAACCAAUCAAGCUGAGUAGCUGAGACCAACUUGAGGUCUGGAAGAAAAUUUACGCGGACCCGGAAAGCACUAAAUGGAGGACACUACGUACCAAUUCAAGCUUCAAACGUUGAAGAACGUUUUAGUAAAGGCCAAAGAAAUCCAGAAUACUUUGACUGUCAAAAUUAGACCACACCAGACCAUUAGGAUACCGCCUUAUCAAUCCAUAUCUAGCCGAUACCUUCUGAUAGCCUAAACUAUAUUCUGAACUAAUUGGGAAGGCAUCACAAUGAAAAGAUCACCAAGAUUGCAUGAAGACCAGACUAGUUUACGUGAACACCAAGCCAAUGCUUAUUUGGCCAAGAUUAGUUCAUGAGAUCUGAUAUGACAUGUGAUCCUAGAGUCGACCCGGAUAGAUAUGUAAUAGAUGUGUGUAUUAUUGUGAUUUUUGCCACAAACAGCUUGACACAACCUAAAUGCGAUUAAGACACAAGUCAAAUGAAUAUGUGAGUUUAUAAGAGAACAUCAGCAAUUAACAGUGAAAACGGCAGCUCACACAUGUAAUAUAUUCUUGAUAUUAAUUAUUUUAUUCAAAUCAUCAGCUGAGUUGUAACAACAACUGAAUACUUGAGGAAAAUCAUAAAAGUGGAAGAAGAUAUUCAUCUUUCCGUACAUAGCAAGCAAACAAAACGCGGAGAUAGAAACCCGGCCCGAAUCUUAAACCGGAGAUCGGAUCUCCGGUUAUAAUUAAGAAGUGGUGGGGCAGAAAGUGAUCAAGUAGCUAGCACCAGAACAAGUGAAGGUGCUUGUUGCGUCGUCAUAAGCGUAGCUAUAUGCGCUAGGGCAAGCUUUCUUGAACGUCAUCGAGUAAUUCGUCGGAGCACAAGUCUCCGGCGUCGAAUGAGCUCCGCUGCAGCAAUACUCCUCCUUGUUAAACGCCGCGCAUGCGCUCUUGCACGCCGCCACAUUGUUCUGCUGAUCCUUGACACGAAGCUCUUCAGGGCAAAUCGCGUUUAGGUCGGCGACGCAGCCUGCGUAUCUGCAAUCUCCGGAUCCUCCCUGAGGUUUUAUCCCCAUCUUCACGUUGUAACCGUCGACGAGGCUCACGUCGUAGAAAUCUUUGCCUCCAACGGUGAAUUCAGCCAGAGUGACCGGUGGAACUCCACCGGCGCCGGCACAUUUUAGGACGCCGCCGCAGUCUCCGGUGACGCAUAUACCGUGUCCGGUUGAGUCGAACUUGCAGCCGGUACGAGCCCAGAACCGGCCUGUCCAUCCCGGAGGUGCCGUGAGCUGUACGGAAGCGUCUGUAGCUAAUUCCAAUCCGCCGUCGCCGAGGGCUUUUCCUCCGUUUCCGGUGAGAAUUCCGGGCCAGACGGUGUAAGGGCAAAGAUUCUCCAAAGUGAAGACGGUGGCGGAAACAGCAACGCCGCCUGCCAUUUCAAAACACAGACCAGAUUCAUCAGAAAAAAACAAAGAAACAAGAAAACAAUUUUGAAAAUUGUUGUGCAAUAUGUUGUGAAAAAAAAACUAACGAAAUCAUCAAUCAGGAAGAUCAAGAAACAGUAUCUGAAUUAUCAUAUUUUCUAAAUAGAGGAGAAAAUGUAGAAUCUAAUAGCGAAAGGAGAAAGAUCAAAGAGAGUAGUAUGUUUGUAGUUACUUG
rnacentral:lncRNA from 1 species